rnacentral:rRNA from 1 species
CGUAGGUGGCAAGCGUUGUCCGGAAUUAUUGGGCGUAAAGCGCGCGCAGGCGGUCCUUUAAGUCUGAUGUGAAAGCCCACGGCUCAACCGUGGAGGGUCAUUGGAAACUGGGGGACUUGAGUGCAGAAGAGGAAAGUGGAAUUCCAAGUGUAGCGGUGAAAUGCGUAGAGAUUUGGAGGAACACCAGUGGCGAAGGCGACUUUCUGGUCUGUAACUGACGCUGAGGCGCGAAAGCGUGGGGAGCAAACAGGAUU